UGGUUGUCGUCAGCUCGUGUCGUGAGAUGUUGGGUUAAGUCCCGCAACGAGCGCAACCCUUAAGCUUAGUUGCCAGCAUUAAGUUGGGCACUCUAAGUUGACUGCCGGUGACAAACCGGAGGAAGGUGGGGAUGACGUCAAAUCAUCAUGCCCUUUAUGAUUUGGGCUACACACGUGCUACAAUGGACAAUACAAAGGGCAGCUAAACCGCGAGGUCAUGCAAAUCCCAUAAAGUUGUUCUCAGUUCGGAUUGUAGUCUGCAACUCGACUACAUGAAGCUGGAAUCGCUAGUAAUCGUAGAUCAGCAUGCUACGGUGAAUACGUUCCCGGGUCUUGUACACACCGCCCGUCACACCACGAGAGUCUGUAACACCCGAAGCCGGUGGAGUAACCAUUUAUGGAGCUAGCCGUCGAAGGUGGGACAAAUGAUUGGGGUGAAGUCGUAACAAGGUAGCCGUAUCGGAAGGUGCGGCUGGAUCACCUC
rnacentral:rRNA from 1 species